rnacentral:tRNA from 1 species
CGGUCGGUGGCGCAGCGGGGGGACUUCCCGCUGGUGGCGCGAGGGACAGCGGCGCGGAUCGUCACCGAUCCGGCCGAC